GUCCAUUGAAAGCAGAAAAAAAAAAAACCAUGGUUGGUAAGAGCCACAGUUGUAGUGGGUGUUUUCCCUCUCUUGGCCACAAGGGGCAGCCCAUUCCACACAUAUAAACAAUCUGGAAAAGCUGUCCAAAGGUGAGAUUUCGGCUUUAUGCUUGUUUCUUAACAAGUUGUUUUUGGCGUUACAAGA